GACGAACGCUGGCGGCGUGCUUAACACAUGCAAGUCGAACGGUGACGAGGAGCUUGCUCCUCUGAUCAGUGGCGAACGGGUGAGUAACACGUGAGCAACCUGCCCCAGACUCUGGGAUAACAGUUGGAAACAGCUGCUAAUACCGGAUACGAGACGGAGAGGCAUCUCUACCGUCUGGAAAGUUUUUCGGUCUGGGAUGGACUCGCGGCCUAUCAGCUAGUUGGUGAGGUAAUGGCUCACCAAGGCGACGACGGGUAGCCGGCCUGAGAGGGCGACCGGCCACACUGGGACUGAGACACGGCCCAGACUCCUACGGGAGGCAGCAGUGGGGAAUAUUGCACAAUGGGCGAAAGCCUGAUGCAGCGACGCCGCGUGAGGGAUGACGGCCUCGGUUGUAACGUACUUUAGUCAGGAGAAGACGAAGUAGACGGUACGUGCAGAAAAGAACGACCGGCGUAACUACGUGCCAGCAGCCGCGGUAAACGUAGUGUGUACG
rnacentral:rRNA from 1 species